ACGAACGCUGGCGGCGUGCUUAACACAUGCAAGUCGAACGAUGAAGCUGGAGCUUGCUCCGGUGGAUUAGUGGCGAACGGGUGAGUAACACGUGAGAAAUCUGCCCCUGACUCUGGGAUAACUGCGGGAAACUGUAGCUAAUACCGGAUACUUUCCCUGGUGGGCAUCCACUGGGGAAGAAAGAAUUUCGGUCAGGGAGGAUCUCGCGGCCUAUCAGCUAGUUGGUGAGGUAACGGCUCACCAAGGCGACGACGGGUAACCGGCCUGAGAGGGUGACCGGUCACACUGGGACUGAGACACGGCCCAGACUCCUACGGGAGGCAGCAGUGGGGAAUAUUGCACAAUGGGCGCAAGCCUGAUGCAGCAACGCCGCGUGAGGGAUGAAGGCCUUCGGGUUGUAAACCUCUUUUAGCAGGGAAGAAGCGAAAGUGACGGUACCUGCAGAAAAAGCACCGGCUAACUACGU
rnacentral:rRNA from 1 species